AUGCCCACGACAAUUCAGACCGGCAUGCUCUCCACACGAUGGAGGCACCUCCCGCAUCAGCUCUCUAAUCUGCAAAUUAGUGCUGAAGACUUUCCAGGCACAGUAGUGGAUCAGAUAAUGACCGCGUACACUGAUGCGACAAGGAGAUUUCUAUCUCCUCCGCCUUGUGGAUGCAAUCGGGUCAUCAAGAUCCUCCAGCUCUGCUUCUACCUAGCAGACCCUUACUUGUCCUUCAUCGCUCAUGCGGUUGGGGAUGCCAUGAAGAUCGGCAUACCAGAAUACCUCGAGUUUGCGGCGACCGGCUAUGUUGCAUGUCCAAGUGAGGCUGAACUAGUACUGUUCAAACAACACUUUAUGUCCUUCUUCCAUGCUUGCCCUGGUCCCUUCAGUUUGCUCACCAAACUGAUGCUGCGGAACCUUUCUUUUGAAGACUCAGAUAUCCCCAAUAUCCUCAACACUUGCAAUAAACUUAAGCUCCUUUCCUUGAGAUCAUGUCAAAUGGGCCAGGCCUCUGUCCUCAAGAUAGAUGCUCCAUGCUUGGAGCUCGUAGGAGUUGAACUUAUCGACUUCUGGUGUGAACAAGUUGAACUAAUCUCUGCCCCUAAACUCCUGGAAUUGGUCUAUGAUAGCUGGUGCGGUGAAAACCCCCCAGUGUAUUUUCUCUAUGUCCCUCAGCUUGUUAGAGUAUACUUCACUUCUCCUGCCCUAUCUUGGCAGACACCAUUCACAUUGAGCGAGUGCUUAUCUGGUAACAAAAACCUGUCAAUGGUGCAUCUAAAUUUUUGCACUCAAAUGAUUUGGAUUGAACCUGAAGAUCCUCGACAGCUCACUCCUAUAUUCAAUAAACUGAGAGAUGCGCAUCUUUACAAUAUCUUUGCAGAGUGCGAUCUGAAUUGGACUAUGUUUAUCCUCGAAGGUGCACCUUCCUUAGAGAACUUUUAUCUAUCUCGGCAUUCAUGUGAACUAAGUAAGACCGAGGAUAGUGCUGAGAAGACCAAUGUGUUGUGGGAACCAUCAAGGAUUGAAGGUACUUGA
rnacentral:rRNA from 1 species